GAGAAUUAUGACAAAGAAAAAGCUUCUAACUUUUAACUUGAGUGGUUAAAUUCCAUUCACUUCUCG
rnacentral:tRNA from 1 species